rnacentral:rRNA from 1 species
GCAAUGGGAUGCGAAUCUCGAAAGCCUGUCUCAGUUCGGAUUGGAGGCUGAAACCCGCCUCCAUGAAGUUGGAUUCGCUAGUAAUCGCGCAUCAGCCAUGGCGCGGUGAAUACGUUCCCGGGCCUUGUACACACCGCCCGUCAAGCCAUGGGAGCCGGGGGUGCCUGAAGUUCGUGACCGCAAGGAGCGACCUAGGGCAAAACUGGUGACUGGGGCUAAGUCGUAACAAGGUAUC